AGGCACACAGGUAUUUACCCUGAGGUCAGGCCAGGCAGGCAGGCUGCUCUGAGCAAGGCCUUCCCAGUGCUGUCUACCCAGAAAGAACCAGCCAUAGGGCCAGCCGCUGUCUUCCAGGAUGUGCGGGGGUGGUGAGAAGAAUCCCAGGGCUGGUGGGCCCCUCAGGAGCCAGGCUGUGCUGGGGAGCGGCUGAGCCAUGUCAGGGACAGAUGUUUUCAUUUUAGGGCUUGGGUUGUCAUAAAUUGUUCCCACCAAGCCCUGUUUCCUAUUAAGCUGACUCUGGGAGAUGGAGAAGCAUCCGUGAGGGUCAUGGGAUCCUGACCUGCUUGCUGGGAUGACAGACCCCACUCCUGGCCAGUGACAGCUUGAGAACAGCUGUGUGAAGCAGGCCUGGCUAUGGCAAAGUGAGGGGGGCUCUGGAGAAGAUCCCACUCUGAGCUGUGCUCUGGAUGAGAUCAGACCUUGAUGCAACAGCAGGAACUGCAGCAGCCUUCUUGUGACGGAGGGGAACAAGCAGACACCGGAACUACAGAUAGGGAGCUACAUUAGCCUUCCUGGCGUUUCUUAUCAUAAAAGAAAAUGCUGCCUGUCAGCUACUGAGUGCUUCCCACUUCCAGAAACUGUGAGCUGCUGGCAGCAUCCAAUAAACACUUCUUCACCAUCCAUCUAGGGAGAAACCAAAAUCCCUGUUCUC